rnacentral:rRNA from 1 species
UACAGGGGGUGCAAACGUUGCUCGGAAUCAUUGGGCGUAAAGCGCACGUAGGCGGUCUGUUAUGUCGGAUGUGAAAGCCCUCGGCUCAACUGAGGAAGUGCAUCCGAAACUGGCAGGCUAGAGUACUAAAGAGGGUCGCGGAAUUCCCGGUGUAGAGGUGAAAUGCGUAAAUAUCGAGAGGAACACCUGCGGCGAAGGCGGGUUGCUGGGCUGACACUGACGCUGAGGCGCGAAAGCUAGGGGAGCGAACGGG